rnacentral:rRNA from 1 species
AUUGAACGCUGGCGGCAGGCUUAACACAUGCAAGUCGAGCGGAGUGAUAGUGCUUGCACUAUCACUUAGCGGCGGACGGGUGAGUAAUGCUUAGGAAUCUGCCAUUUAGUGGGGGACAACAUUCCGAAAGGAAUGCUAAUACCGCAUACGUCCUACGGGAGAAAGCAGGGGAUCUUCGGACCUUGCGCUAAAUGAUGAGCCUAAGUCGGAUUAGCUAGUUGGUGGGGUAAAGGCCUACCAAGGCGACGAUCUGUAGCGGGUCUGAGAGGAUGAUCCGCCACACGGGGACUGGGACACGGCCCAGACUCCUACGGGAGGCAGCAGUGGGGAAUAUUGGACAAUGGGCGGAAGCCUGAUCCAGCCAUGCCGCGUGUGUGAAGAAGGCCUUUUGGUUGUAAAGCACUUUAAGCGAGGAGGAGGCUCUCCUAGUUAAUACCUAGGAAGAGUGGACGUUACUCGCAGAAUAAGCACCGGCUAACUCUGUGCCAGCAGCCGCCGUAAGAC